GUCAUUCUUUUGAACGUCUUUAAAUGGGUUUUAUUUUCACAUAGUUUAUUCAUCACAGUUCAUUUGGUUUAAAUUUGGUGCUUUUUUUGGUGUUUUUUUGUCUUUCAUCUUUCCCCCUUAACGGCGUUUCACCGGUGGCGUGGCUCCCCUGCAGCUUUGAUGACAUCAGCCUGGCUGUGGGGGAAAAGGUCGGGCCCAGCAGUGUUAAAUCGGCUGCUCAGAUUAACAGCUCCGUGGUCAUUUUCCUGGAACAGACGGAUAAGGUGAACUGAGUCACUCAGAUUGAACGAAAGUUUUGUAUAGUGCUACCGCUUUCACAUCUCCCGCCCCUUCAUAACCGAUGAGUUUCUCAAUAGAGAGCUUUCCGGACAAGGAGCACUGCUGUGGGGUCGGUCGCCUCAUCUUAUGUGCCGUUUGCCGCUCUGUGGGCAUUAAUGCGAAGAACCACUACUGUGUCCAACCCAGUGCACGGGUUUCACCUUGUGACAGAGAGAGGAGCUGGACUCUGAUCCUGAUCCUCCAAACUACAGGCUUCAAUCUUGAGUCCCAAGAUGACGUUGCAUGCACACUGGAAUUCGUUCAAAGGACAUUCAUGGGGAUAAAUCUUGACAGAGGCAUUAAGGCUGGAUGGGUCAAAGUCUGGGGAAGGUCACCCAGAAAAAGAUGGCAUCAGUCAACCCUUGUGUCUCCAGUCUACUAAAGAAAUUAAGGACUUUGAGUGAGACUCUACAUAAGUCAGUUCACACUCUCACUCACACACACACUGUCAGUGUCUUAGCCACACUCUUUGUCUUAAAAUUUUAAGUUGCAAUUUCAAAGACUGUGUUUAUUCAAUGUAUUAAAAUAUAGUUUUAUAGCAAGACUGCAAAGGAAAAAUUUAUCAACUCAUAAAGUUUUGGGAAAUAAAUGUAGUUCUUUUUAUUAACAGGUAAUUUAUCAAUAGCUUAUACUGCAGCAUGUUUUAUAUAUGUACUACCGUUAACAGUGAAAAUCUGCAAAUAUAGCUCCUGUGAAAAAAGUGUAAAUAAAUAAACUGCCAAUUCUUCAUCAGUAUUUUACUGUAAAAGUAAGCUUUUUGCUGUAUUUACAAAAACGGUAGCAAACUGUAAAUACCAGCAACAGCAUGGUACCGUUAAUUUUACAGUAAAAUAAUGGCAACCCUGCUUCCAGUUGUUUACUGUUUUUAACGGCAAAAACAUUUUUACAGUCUACAUCAAGUUGUUGUUUUUUUUUAUUUCUUUUUAAUGCACUUAUCAUCCAAACCUAUGAUCCGACCAGCAUGUUCUUUUUUUAGAACCGAACCUGGAAAUUAAAUUAAAACAAAAUACCAGCCACAAAUUACUGUUUUUGUGGGUCACCAGGACUUUGCAGUACUCUAGGCAAGACUCAGAGUUGUAUUUCAAAUCCAAAAAACAAACAAACAAAAAAAUUAUUUAAUUUAUAUGUCCUAAUUCGGUCUAUAUUUGUCUACCGCUAACUGUUUUUCAAUUUAAUGUGGUUGCGCAUGCAUGUUCACCAGCAACCGUGGUUGUUACAAGCAUGCUCAUUGACAGAAUUGACAUCAGCAAUAAAAACACAGUCAUACUUUUGUAAAAAUACAGUGCCAUCUGGGAAUACAGUAUUUGAUUUUCAGUUGUUCAGUACUUAAUCUUUUCCUUAGUCCUUGUCAGUUUGCUGUUGAGCAGUUGGGAGUAAGUUUAUCAGAGAUUUUUCACAGAAAAAAGCCAACUGCUCCUGCUAGAAAAUUGGGUGAUUGGAGCGCUGAGGCUGAACCUAAAUAAUAAAGUUUAUAUAAAUAAACUUUAGUUUGUAGUUCAGGACAGUUCAGCACUCACUGAACCUGAGACCUUCUGGCACCAGAAAGGAUUCCUGUAACUGCUACCCUACCCUGAGCUCUAUCCCGGGAUGCCAAAUUCCAAAACAGCACUAGCAGAUAGGAAGUUUAUCUUCUGAAGCAGAUUAAUCAUUAUUUGUUUCUCAUAAGUGUGUUUUAGGGAAAGUGGUGUGUGAUUGACACAUCUGCUAAUAACAGUUAUCACAUUAUCACACAGCCUUGUUCCCUGCCUACAGACCAACAUUAGUAAAGAUUGGCUCUUUGUCAUUUAUUGAUAUCUGAUCUCAGGCUGCUUACACAGACUGUCAUCGGUUGCCAUGUCGGACAUUGUCUGGCCCACCCUAAUGUGUUUCACCUGUGUUCAAUCAUCCUUGCGUCCCUUGUGUCUGUUUAGUCUCUGUGCUCCUCUUUGUCUGUCAGUUCAUCUGUUCAAGUCCCCUGUGCUUCUGUUGAAGUUCCCUGUGUUUCUGCUUCCUGUUCUGUAAGUUCUUCUGUUUAUUAAACAUUUUUCACAUCUCCCUUG